rnacentral:rRNA from 1 species
GCGGCCGUAACUAUAACGGUCCUAAGGUAGCGAAAUUCCUUGUCGGGUAAGUUCCGACCUGCACGAAUGGCGUAAUGAUGGCCAGGCUGUCUCCACCCGAGACUCAGUGAAAUUGAACUCGCUGUGAAGAUGCAGUGUACCCGCGGCAAGACGGAAAGACCCCGUGAACCUUUACUAUAGCUUGACACUGAACAUUGAGCCUUGAUGUGUAGGAUAGGUGGGAGGCUUUGAAGUGUGGACGCCAGUCUGCAUGGAGCCGGCCUUGAAAUACCACCCUUUAAUGUUUGAUGUUCUAACGUUGGCCCCUGAUCGGGGUUGCGGACAGUGUCUGGUGGGUAGUUUGACUGGGGCGGUCUCCUCCUAAAGAGUAACGGAGGAGCACGAAGGUUGGCUAAUCCUGGUCGGACAUCAGGAGGUUAGUGCAAUGGCAUAAGCCAGCUUGACUGCGAGCGUGACGGCGCGAGCAGGUGCGAAAGCAGGUCAUAGUGAUCCGGUGGUUCUGAAUGGAAGGGCCAUCGCUCAACGGAUAAAAGGUACUCCGGGGAUAACAGGCUGAUACCGCCCAAGAGUUCAUAUCGACGGCGGUGUUUGGCACCUCGAUGUCGGCUCAUCACAUCCUGGGGCUGAAGUAGGUCCCAAGGGUAUGGCUGUUCGCCAUUUAAAGUGGUACGCGAGCUGGGUUUAGAACGUCGUGAGACAGUUCGGUCCCUAUCUGCCGUGGGCGCUGGAGAACUGAGGGGGGCUGCUCCUAGUACGAGAGGACCGGAGUGGACGCAUCACUGGUGUUCGGGUUGUCAUGCCAAUGGCACUGCCCGGUAGCUAAAUGCGGAAGAGAUAAGUGCUGAAAGCAUCUAAGCACGAAACUUGCC